rnacentral:rRNA from 1 species
GACAGAGGGUGCAAACGUUGUUCGGAAUUACUGGGCGUAAAGCGCGUGUAGGCGGCUAUGCAAGUCGGAUGUGAAAGCCCUCGGCUCAACCGGGGAAGUGCACCCGAAACUGCAAAGCUAGAGUCUCGGAGAGGAUCGUGGAAUUCUCGGUGUAGAGGUGAAAUUCGUAGAUAUCGAGAGGAACACCGGUGGCGAAGGCGGCUACCUGGACAGAAACUGACGCUGAGGCGCGAAAGCUAGGGGAGCAAACAGG